UACGUAGGAGGCUAGCGUUGUUCGGAAUCACUGGGCGUAAAGGGCGCGUAGGCGGCUUUAUAAGUCGGGGGUGAAAGCCUGUGGCUCAACCACAGAAUUGCCUUCGAUACUGUAGAGCUUGAGACCGGAAGAGGUUAGUGGAACUGCGAGUGUAGAGGUGAAAUUCGUAGAUAUUCGCAAGAACACCAGUGGCGAAGGCGGCUGACUGGUCCGGUUCUGACGCUGAGGCGCGAAAGCGUGGGGAGCAAACAGG
rnacentral:rRNA from 1 species